CGAACGGGUGAGUAACGCGUGAGCAACCUGCCUAUGACAGUGGGAUAGCCUCGGGAAACCGGGAUUAAUACCGCAUAAAAUCGUAGAAACACAUGUUUUAACGGUCAAAGAUUUAUCGGUCAUAGAUGGGCUCGCGUCUGAUUAGCUAGUUGGUGAGAUAACAGCCCACCAAGGCGACGAUCAGUAGCCGGUCUGAGAGGAUGAACGGCCACAUUGGAACUGAGACACGGUCCAA
rnacentral:rRNA from 1 species